AUAGAGUUGGUGUUGGGCUUAUGGAAUUUCUGGGCCCUCAAAAUAAAAUCACCUAAUUUCUUUUAUUGUGUUCCUAAAAAGGCAACAACUUGCUUAAAAGCAGAGCCCCCCACCUUGCCCUCCACUCUUUCCCCUCAUGAGAGCUGAGAAUGAUGUCAGGAAGGACCAGCCAUUCGAGACCCUCCUUUCAGCAGUUCUCAGAGGGCAAGCAAAAUCGUGGAGUUUGUAUUUAAAUCGCCAGCACAACGCCUGACACAGAGAAUUUCUUGGUAAAGCUUGAUUGAAUUGAGUUGAAUAUCCAAACUUUCCAAUUUUGAAUGAGAUUAAGGAGGACAUUAAACUUUUGAAACAGUGCACUUUCAGGAGUGGGUUCCACAUUCAAGGCCUUGACUGUCCGGCGUGGGUUGAAGAGAAACCUGUUGAGAAAUUGGGCAAGAGGAAAAAAGUCUAAUUCUGCUGUGAGAAUUGAAGCUUACUGAUCAACAUAAAGCAACUACUGAUCAGAAGGAAUCCACGGACAUCAAAUUGAAAGCAAAAGCAGGGAACAUUAACAUGUGGAUUCUGAGGAAAGCACUUUGGGAAACACUCAUAAGGCCAGAAAAUUUCAAGAUGGUGGGUAACUGGCAACGACCCCAGAUGACAUUCUGCAGAGUGCUGGUGACCGAGUCUAGUUGGUCACAUGUAUCUGGUCUGCUACAGGCGUGCUGAGGGCGGAAGCAAAUGCCCGUUUGACUUCAUAAUGCCUGUUGCCACGACCUCUUCCAGAAACAUGACUGGUGAUGCUAGAACACUGGCGCCUUUCAGGGGCAACUCUGUGGUCUCCCAAUCCAGGUCUCUACUCCCUAGACCUGCUGUCGAACAACAGCAGCUCUGCUUGGGGACUAAUGGGAAGUGGGCACUAGUGGGCAAGUGUGUUCUUGAGAACACGCAACCUGAUCUGCCUGCUGAUAAAGCUCGAAGGUCACCCACUGAUGGGGGUGGUUGUGCCCAUGAGGUUGCGAAAAUGAAAAUGGUGCUGGGAGUUUGUUAAAUAAAGACAGUAGAAGCAGA
rnacentral:lncRNA from 1 species